rnacentral:rRNA from 2 species
UCAUGAUUUACAUUUGAGUGAGUGGCGAACUGGUGAGUAACACGUGGGAAACCUGCCCAGAAGCGGGGGAUAACACCUGGAAACAGAUGCUAAUACCGCAUAACAACUUGGACCGCAUGGUCCGAGUUUGAAAGAUGGCUUCGGCUAUCACUUUUGGAUGGUCCCGCGGCGUAUUAGCUAGAUGGUGGGGUAACGGCUCACCAUGGCAAUGAUACGUAGCCGACCUGAGAGGGUAAUCGGCCACAUUGGGACUGAGACACGGCCCAAACUCCUACGGGAGGCAGCAGUAGGGAAUCUUCCACAAUGGACGAAAGUCUGAUGGAGCAACGCCGCGUGAGUGAAGAAGGGUUUCGGCUCGUAAAACUCUGUUGUUAAAGAAGAACAUAUCUGAGAGUAACUGUUCAGGUAUUGACGGUAUUUAACCAGAAAGCCACGGCUAACUACGUGCCAGCAGCCGCGGUAAUACGUAGGUGGCAAGCGUUGUCCGGAUUUAUUGGGCGUAAAGCGAGCGCAGGCGGUUUUUUAAGUCUGAUGUGAAAGCCUUCGGCUCAACCGAAGAAGUGCAUCGGAAACUGGGAAACUUGAGUGCAGAAGAGGACAGUGGAACUCCAUGUGUAGCGGUGAAAUGCGUAGAUAUAUGGAAGAACACCAGUGGCGAAGGCGGCUGUCUGGUCUGUAACUGACGCUGAGGCUCGAAAGUAUGGGUAGCAAACAGGAUUAGAUACCCUGGUAGUCCAUACCGUAAACGAUGAAUGCUAAGUGUUGGAGGGUUUCCGCCCUUCAGUGCUGCAGCUAACGCAUUAAGCAUUCCGCCUGGGGAGUACGGCCGCAAGGCUGAAACUCAAAGGAAUUGACGGGGGCCCGCACAAGCGGUGGAGCAUGUGGUUUAAUUCGAAGCUACGCGAAGAACCUUACCAGGUCUUGACAUACUAUGCAAAUCUAAGAGAUUAGACGUUCCCUUCGGGGACAUGGAUACAGGUGGUGCAUGGUUGUCGUCAGCUCGUGUCGUGAGAUGUUGGGUUAAGUCCCGCAACGAGCGCAACCCUUAUUAUCAGUUGCCAGCAUUAAGUUGGGCACUCUGGUGAGACUGCCGGUGACAAACCGGAGGAAGGUGGGGAUGACGUCAAAUCAUCAUGCCCCUUAUGACCUGGGCUACACACGUGCUACAAUGGAUGGUACAACGAGUUGCGAACUCGCGAGAGUAAGCUAAUCUCUUAAAGCCAUUCUCAGUUCGGAUUGUAGGCUGCAACUCGCCUACAUGAAGUCGGAAUCGCUAGUAAUCGCGGAUCAGCAUGCCGCGGUGAAUACGUUCCCGGGCCUUGUACACACCGCCCGUCACACCAUGAGAGUUUGUAACACCCAAAGUCGGUG